UCUUUCUCUCUCCCCCUCACUCCCGAUCACUCCCCCCCCCCCAUCUGGCUUUGGAGCUGCUGGUGCACAGGGUUUUAGGUGGUGAGCCCCCUCACAUUGUGUGGUGUUUGGUGGUCUCCCUGAGUGUAAAGGGCCUUGGGUGAAAGUCUAUCAAGUCAACUGGUUAAAUGCCAGAAAAAAAGCAGUCAGCCUGUGGCCUACCAGAAGACACCUUGAGAUGCCUGGGGUUCCAAGGAUUGAUCUGGCUCUUCUUUUUCUCUCUUUUUUUCCCAAUUUUCAUCUCAGAAAACAGAAGGAAGACAGAAUAUGCAAAGCAUGCUGGACACUCUGUAAGGAGGAAGGAGGGUGUGUGUGAUUCUCCUAUACUGUGGUCCUGGCUUCCAUUGCAAGACUUGCCCAGGUGUCCAGGGACUGCUCUGCCUGUAGGAGGCUUGCAAGGUCUGGAGUGCUCUCGGCAUGGGAGCGCCAGGACUUCCGAGAAGCUGACUUUGUGUCAUCGCUCCAGAAUUCCACAGAGAAUUGUCACUUUCUGACGGAAGACAAACCCUAUGCAAUUUCUGAUUGUAAACCUAGACAAGUCAAAGAGAGGGAUGAACAGCGGCCACCAACUCCACCUUCACCACCACCACCUUGAGUCAAGCUGAGUUCAUGUGGCUCUUGUUCUGAAUGUACUAAAAUAAAGACGCCUUUGAAGAUGCUGAGCUGACUGCCCUGUUCUGCCUAGCUUCUGGAUAGGUUGGCAUCCUCUCUGUGGGGGACUAUUUGUUAGAGCUGCCACCCCGGGGCCAAGUUGGAACCCCAAUUCUUCUCAGUUCAUAUAAGAGAUGCCCUGUCAGCCCUAAGCUGACCUCUUGCUGGUGACUCUGAAUCUGUUUUUAUUUUUCUCUUUAGCUGUUCAAUGGCGGCAAGCUGUGUGGAACACUUGAGGUGUUUUCUUGUUUUGUUUUGUUUUGUUUUUGUUUUUUGUUUGUGUAAACAUGCCUUGUGGAGAAAUACAAACUGGGUGGGCAGGGCAUUCAAAGGCUGACUGCCAACAGACCCCAGUCACAACUGCUCCAACCCCACCCAGCCUUUUCCCAUGCUUCUGACUCCAGGGAUCCCUCCUGUCAGAUCACAUCUUGGACAGGAAGGGUUGUUUUUUUGUUUUGUUUCGUUUUUAAGAAAAAAUAAAAAACAAAAACAAAAAUCAAAAAAAAAAAAAACAAACCUUUGUUUUUAUGGGCAGGAUAUCUUGAUCAAAAGAAACUUUUUUUUUAAUGAAUUAGUGAAGUAAAUGUCCCCACGUGUGUCAUUUGUAGUGUCUGUUUCCUUCCCUUCGUGGAACCAGGCAGCUGUCCUUAACUCCAUCCCUGCGCCUUCCCCCAGUGGCUGUGUACAUCUGCUACCGGCUGUUUAUGGUCCUUGGUUUGACUCCUCCACGGUGGAUCCAUUGGUUGUUGGCUUUCUUUCCCAUCCUGUGUUUUCUAUCAGAAUCUGUGUACCGUAUAAAGCAGUUUUUUUCUUGUCUGUU